rnacentral:rRNA from 1 species
AUGGAGAACCCGGCGUUCACGGCGGAGCUCGACGUCACACGGGGUUCAUCCUACGGCAGGUUCGUCUCCGGCGUGCGCGACCAGCUCGUGCUCCAUGCCGGCGCGACGCGCCACCUGGAGCUCGUCUUGCUUCCAGCCCAGUCCGAGGACCCCGGCAAGGCUCCAUGGUUCGGCGUCACGCUCCGUUGCGGCUCCGGGCGCUCGGCGCUGCUCCGCAUACGCGCAGACAACCUCUACCUCUCCGGUUACCGGAGCUCAGACGGUCUGUGGUCCGAGUUCCUCGGUGGCUCUCUCAUCGCUGGCGCGACGCCGAUUUCGUUCGGCGAUAGCUACGGCGACAUGGCGAGAGUGGCCGAGACGGCACUCGAGGCACUCACCCUCGGCAAGGAGGAGCUCCAAGCCGCGGCGGAGCGCCUCACGGCCAGCGCCGGCACUCAGCAGGAGAUCGCAAGAUCGCUGAUGACCAUGUCGGUGAUGGUUUGUGAGGCCAUCAGGUUCAGGAGCGUCGGCGGCGCGCUCAGCCACAUGAUGUGCAACGCUGCCCGGCGAGGGGUGCUGCCGGCGCACAUGGUCGAGCAGGUGAAGAACUGGAGGAGCCUGUCCGAGUACUGGCUCGGGGCCGUCCUCUACGCACAGCCGUUCCUGCCGUACAUAGAGGCCGACGGCAGCCAGCACUAUGGCCACAUCCCCCAGCACCUGCUCGCGCCGGCGAAGAUCGACUGCCAGGACCACGCCAUGAUGGCGCUCGGCGUCGCGCUGAACCGGCAGAGGGGGCUGCAGGACAAGCACCCGGCGGCCUUCGACGAGCAUUGGCGCGCCGUGCGCGCCCACGCUCGCAAGCUUGACAGGGAAAGAGCAUCUGCAUCCGGCACAUGA